ACGGGUGAGUAAUACAUCGGAACGUAUCCUGGAGUGGGGGAUAGCCCGGCGAAAGCCGGAUUAAUACCGCAUACGCUCUGAGGAGGAAAGCGGGGGACCUUCGGGCCUCGCGCUCAAGGGGCGGCCGAUGGCGGAUUAGGUAGUUGGUGGGGUAAAGGCCUACCAAGCCGACGAUCCGUAGCUGGUCUGAGAGGACGACCAGCCACACUGGGACUGAGACACGGCCCAGACUCCUACGGGAGGCAGCUGUGGGGAAUUUUGGACAAUGGGGGCAACCCUGAUCCAGCAAUGCCGCGUGUGUGAAGAAGGCCUUCGGGUUGUAAAGCACUUUUGUCCGGAAAGAAAUCAUCGGGGCCAAUACCCCUGGUGGAUGACGGUACCGGAAGAAUAAGCACCGGCUAACUACGUGCCAGCAGCCGCGGUAAUACGUAGGGUGCGAGCGUUAAUCGGAAUUACUGGGCGUAAAGCGUGCGCAGGCGGUGCUGUAAGACCGAUGUGAAAUCCCCGGGCUUAACCUGGGAACUGCAUUGGUGACUGCAGCGCUGGAGUAUGGCAGAGGGGGGUGGAAUUCCACGU
rnacentral:rRNA from 1 species